rnacentral:rRNA from 1 species
AAGUCGAGCGAACGGACGAGAAGCUUGCUUCUCUGAUGUUAGCGGCGGACGGGUGAGUAACACGUGGAUAACCUACCUAUAAGACUGGGAUAACUUCGGGAAACCGGAGCUAAUACCGGAUAAUAUUUUGAACCGCAUGGUUCAAAAGUAAAAGACGGUCUUGCUGUCACUUAUAGAUGGAUCCGCGCUGCAUUAGCUAGUUGGUAAGGUAACGGCUUACCAAGGCAACGAUGCAUAGCCGACCUGAGAGGGUGAUCGGCCACACUGGAACUGAGACACGGUCCAGACUCCUACGGGAGGCUCGCAGUAGGGAAUAUUCCGCAAUGGGCGAAAGCCUGACGGAGCAACGCCGCGUGAGUGAUGAAGGUCUUCGGAUCGUAAAACUCUGUUAUUAGGGAAGAACAUAUGUGUAAGUAACUGUGCACAUCUUGACGGUACCUAAUCAGAAAGCCACGGCUAACUACGUGCCAGCAGCCGCGGUAAUACGUAGGUGGCAAGCGUUAUCCGGAAUUAUUGGGCGUAAAGCGCGCGUAGGCGGUUUUUUAAGUCUGAUGUGAAAGCCCACGGCUCAACCGUGGAGGGUCAUUGGAAACUGGAAAACUUGAGUGCGGAAGAGGAAAGUGGAAUUCCAUGUGUAGCGGUGAAAUGCGCAGAGAUAUGGAGGAACACCAGUGGCGAAGGCGACUUUCUGGUCUGUAACUGACGCUGAUGUGCGAAAGCGUGGGGAUCAAACAGGA